AUACUGUCAGCAGGGUCUCCUAACAGGGAAUAUGUGUUCCUCUGGUGCCUCUGGUAGCAAAUUCCCAUAGUUCAGGGUUACAUCAAAUUCCAUAACAACCCCGGCUAUUUCUUUUAGUAAGUAUCCAGGGUCUGGCUGACUCCAGUCCCUCACCUCAGCCUGGUUCAAGUUUGGAGAUGAUCAGACUAACAUUGUUUCUCUGUCCGCUCAGCGUGCAAACAUACUGUCUGCAGUUUUCUCUGGCUCAGUAUAAACAAGGAUUCGAUGCCUCCGCCAGGCUUCUGUUGCAACCACUGUAAGGUGGUCAUAACUACCGAGUAGCUGCAGUUGACAGUGACAAAAUCUCCCUCCUGGGCACUCAGCCCCAUUUUACAGACGACAGAACUGAUGAUCAGAGAGGCUAAGUAAAUUGUCCAAGGUCACGCACUGCUCCAAAGUGGUGAAGCUGGGAUUCAACACCAGCCUCUCCUAUGACGAAGAACUGUGAAAUAUCAUCAGGAGAGACAAAUUUGAAAUUCUGCCAAAGAGGAAGAAGAAAGAAGAAAGGAGAGGCCAAUGAAAGAGGUGGACCAUUCCAGAUUGAUCAUCUGCAGUCAGAGGAUUUCCAACAAAGCGAUCUGGUGUGUCUCCAUCUCUCUAUCAGCAGGAGUCGAGACAACAGUCACUCCUGUAUGGGCUUUUCCUGUGGAAGAAAAAAUUCUGAGCUCAGAGGAACAUCUGACAUCACUGGUUCUAAUUUUAUAAAAUUUUAUUUAAAUUUUGUAUUGAUAGUCACCAUACUGUACAUUACAUCCCCAGAACUUAUUAAUCUUCUAACUGGAUGCUUGUACCUUUUGGACAACUUUUGGGCUCUGAUGUUAACACAGCAAUCUCUGCUUUCAUCUUGACCACCCAUAAGUCUAUUCUCAACACAGCAGCCAGAAUGAGACUUUUAAAUGGAAGUCAGAUCAUAUCAUUCCUUUCCCAAAACCCUCCUGUGGCUCUUCAUUUCACCCAGUCCUUGGACAUGCUGGGCAUUUCCUAACUUAGGACUGGACUCUGUCCUCUGCCUGAAAAGCUCUUGCCCCAGAUAUCGUCAAGGUUCACUCCUUCAUCUUCUUCAAGUGUUGGCUCAAAUGUCCUCCUCUCAGUGAGACUACCUACUUCCCCUAAAACUGCAAGGGGAACCCCUUUCCCGUGGCCCCACCCAGCACUCUCUGUCCCCUUUGUGUUGCUAGAUUCUCAUCUCUAUGGACUUAUCUUCUAAUAGACUAUGCAAUUUACUUAUUAUGCUUAAUGCUUGUUAGAAUGGAAUCUCCAUGGACUCUGAUACCUUUGAGCAUUUUGUUAACAGGUGUAUCUCAGGUGCCUAGAAGAGACCCUGGCAGAGCGGACACUCAGUAAACACCUGUGGAAUCCAUUACUUAAUCUGAGAACAAGCACACGUUCUGCAUUUUGAAGGGACUAGACACAUUGCCUCAACGACCACACGCAUUCAACCAACCAUGUGCCAGCCACGGAGCCUGUUUCCUAGGCUGAGCGGUAGGGACAGCUGAUUCUCUGCGGGCCAGUCUCCCGGAGAGGGAGUCGGCUUCCUGUAGAGCUCCAGCCUGGUGAUCAAGUCCAUCAGUUUUGGAGGAGCGCUGAGGUGACCGGUCAGGACCAGAGGCCACAGGUUCCGUUUUCUGUUGCUGUAACCCCAUAGUUCGGAGCCCAGCCCCUGUGCUGGUGCUUGCCAGUAAUGCAGCUUAAAGUCUCCAUGGCUCAA